GUCUAUGGCCAUGCUACCCUGAACAAGCCCAAUCUGUCUGAUCUCAGAAGCUAAGCAGGGUGGGGCCUGGUUAGUACUUGGAUAGGAGGCCACCUAGGAAGACCAGGUGCCGUAGGUG
rfam:Pteropus alecto contig103892, whole genome shotgun sequence.